AGACAGCAGGACGGUGGUCAUG
rnacentral:snRNA from 1 species